rnacentral:lncRNA from 1 species
UCCUGUGAGCUAGGGUUUUGAGCCCCAUAUGCCUCCCCCACCCCCUUCUUUUUCUUCUCUCUCUUUGUGCUUUUUGUUGCUUGUUUGUGCUAAAGGCAGCCAUGUUUAUUUAUUUAUGUAUUUUGGGUUUCUCUUUGCUUUUAUACAUUUCUUAUAUGUUGUGCAUUACCAUAUUGUUAUUGCAGCCAGACAGAAGAAGGCUGUGAAGAUUUUCCCACGUCCUACUGCCGGACCCCUUCGCCCAAUUGUUCAAUGCCAGACCCUCAAGUACAAUAUGAAAUCUAGGGCAGGCAGGGGUUUUACCCUGGAAGAGCUUAAGGUAAUUAUCAAGUAUAGUACUUUUUGUUUGUGUUCAUUAGUUGUUUGGAAGUUCUUGAGAUAGUUCUUGAUCAAGACGAAUGCUGCAAAGAACACUUAUCAUCCUGAUUUUCUACUUUGGUAGUUGAGGGAUGGGGGUUCUGUUUUGCAGUCAUAAGUUUAGACUAGAAUUCAAACAUUUCAAUUGAUAUGCUUCAUACUUUGUGAAGUAUAAUUUUGACUUUUGACUCACAGUGGCUUGAGGAAUGGUAGAAGAAUGAUUUGAGAGAAAAACAAGCAACUUGUUGUGUAGAAAUCUUUUUCAAAUAGAAGCUAACAUUUCUUUUAGGAAGAAAUGCAGAAAAAGCACCCAUUCUUAGAUAAAUCAAAUAAAGCACUUGUUCCAAUCAUGGAGCAAAUACAGCCAUCUUCUUCUACGAGAAUUGGUGGAACCCAAACUUGUUUCAAUCAUUGCUCAAUUUUCUAUAGGGGAUGCAUAUACCUUAUGUUACUGUCAAGGAGCUAGUUGACCACGACCAGAAGAUUCUGUCUCAAGAAUAUCUGAUAAGAGCUUAAAAAUUCAGGAUUAGUAGGGAAAAGUGAAUCCCUUCAUCCAUGCCAUUGUAGCUUUUACACUAUCGAUCUCUAGAGUCAUUACUCUGGUGAUUUGAUAGUCCUGAGAACUACACGUAUUUAUCUUUGAUAAAUGGACUAAAGAAAUAAGCAAGUGUAAAAUAUGGAUCCUUAUUGUAUUAGCUCCAACUGGCAUAUAGUUUUAUGCCUAUAUGAAGAUAAAUCAUUAGUUCUUUGACGAUUUAUAGAUGAAUUGGACUGUGCAGGCAGCAGGCAUUCCAAAAAAGCUUGCGCCUACCAUUGGAAUUGCAGUUGAUCACCGCCGAAAGAACCGUUCCCUGGAGGGUCUCCAAGCGAAUGUCCAAAGGCUUAAAACAUACAAGGCAAAAUUAGUUAUCUUCCCAAGA